rnacentral:rRNA from 1 species
UACGUAGGGGGCUAGCGUUGUCCGGAUUUAUUGGGCGUAAAGAGCGUGUAGGCGGCCAGGUAGGUCUGCUGUGAAAACUCGAGGCUCAACCUCGAGACGUCGGUGGAAACCACUGAUGCUAGAGUCCGGAAGAGGAGAGUGGAAUUCCUGGUGUAGCGGUGAAAUGCGCAGAUAUCAGGAGGAACACCAGUGGCGAAGGCAG